UACGUAGGGGGCAAGCGUUGUCCGGAAUCAUUGGGCGUAAAGAGCGUGUAGGCGGCUCGGUAAGUCCGCUGUGAAAGUCCAGGGCUCAACCCUGGAAUGCCGGUGGAAACUGUCGAGCUAGAGUCUGGAAGAGGCGAGUGGAAUUCCUGGUGUAGCGGUGAAAUGCGCAGAUAUCAGGAGGAACACCAAUGGCGAAGGCAGCUCGCUGGGACGGUACUGACGCUGAGACGCGAAAGCGUGGGGAGCAAACAGG
rnacentral:rRNA from 1 species